rnacentral:rRNA from 1 species
AGUGAACGCUGGCGGCGUGCUUAACACAUGCAAGUCGAACGAGAACGGGUUAUGGCUUGCUAUAAUUGUCAGCUAAGUGGCGCACGGGUGAGUAAUGUAUAGGUAAUAUGCCUCUUACUAAGGGAUAACAAAUGGAAACGUUUGCUAAUACCUUAUACUCCUUAUUAACAGAAGUUAAUAAGGGAAAGAUUUAUUGGUAAGAGAUUAGCCUGUAUUGUAUCAGUUAGUUGGUGAGGUAAUGGCUUACCAAGACUAUGACACAUAACUGGUUUGAGAGGAUGAUCAGUCACACUGGAACUGAGACACGGUCCAGACUCCUACGGGAGGCAGCAGUGGGAAUAUUGCACAAUGGACGAAAGUCUGAUGCAGCAACGCCGCGUGGAGGAUGACACAUUUCGGUGCGUAAACUCCUUUUAUAUGAGAAGAUAAUGACGGUAUUAUAUGAAUAAGCACCGGCUAACUCCGUGCCAGCAGCCGCCGUAA